UUUUUCCAGAACAAAACACAAAUGAACACAGAAAUGGGUUAAGAUUCGAAAAGAAAACGGAAACAACAGGGACACCAGCAGCAGACAAGUGGAGAUCUCAGAAACAAAGACGCAAUAUCAAGUGGAAGAGACACCUUAAGAUGCUCUGGGAAAGCACAAAAGCAGUGUGUUAUCUUCUGUUGCAUAUCUUCAGUUCUUUCUGUAGGAGUCCCGGGAUUUACCACGGCCAUUUGGUGACAACGAGCUGGCAAUCUCAACAUCUAAACCACGCAAUCAGCAUCUGGGAGAAGCGGUUCUUCAGAGAAAGAGACGGAAUCCUCCUGCAGAAGGGAAGUGAGCAGGCCAAACCACAGAGGAUUGUGAACUUUCUUCGGUGGAUCUUGGAGCGAAGCCUUCAUUAAUUCAUCUUUUUGCUUAUCCUUUUUUUAGUUUUGCUUUUUUAUCUUCUGCAUCCAAACCACAAAAAAAAAAAAAACAGAAAAGUAAAAGAAAAAUACUAUUUUCUUUGAAUGAUAGCACCAAGUGCAAUAAAGCAGGAGCCAAUUUAUCAACAGAAGGCCAUUUUCUCUCCCCUUUUAAAUGAGAUUUCCCAGCUCGUUGCAAAGACUCCAUAGUUAUGGCCAGGUGGUAGUAAGCAGCACACAUGUUAAUUCGGAGGCUGCUACACCGCUGGCCCAGAGCCAAGUCUCAAUUAUUAGAGGAUGUGGAAUAUGAGGAACUAGGGAUCAAAACUAAGGCCCAAUUUUAUCCACAGGUUUGACACUUCCUAGAUAAAAGUUUGCCCCAGCUGCUGUGAACAGUUGUGCUGAUUUGACAGUCGCAUCUGGUGAAAUUGCCCCCCACAUACCUAGAUAGAAUUAUGGGCCCUGUGAUCCUCAGCACACUCCAGAGAGUUUGAGGGAUUCACAUCCACUUAGCCCAGAUGCUAAAUGAGAGCAUUUUAUCAUAGGUGGGGGAGGAGACGAUUCAGUUGACCCAGUGCCUCAAAGAACCAACAGUGAAAACCGAGUCACAGGUCGCAGCUUGAAAUUGAAUUCCUUCUUGCCUUGCCCCCAUCUCCAGGCUAGCCAAAACUCCCAAGGGACAUCCCUACCAAAACACAGAAUGUCUUCUUCAAAGAAGUAUCCACUGCUUGUUUUGUUGCUGCAGCGAAACGUCUGAGAAAAGUAAUUUGAAGAAGGGAGGUUUAUUUUCAUCCGUGAUCCCAGAGUGUAGCUCAUCAUUGAAAUGAAGUCGGGGUGAUGGGAACUCAAGGCAGCUGAUAACAAUGCAUGCAUAUUGUUUACACUUACAUUGAAUUGUAAUUCAAUGCUCAGCCAGCUUCCUCUCUUUUUAUUCAGGACCCCAGUCCAGAGAGUAGUCUUGCCCAGAGUUAAGGUGGAUCUUUCCACCCCAGUUAAUCCAAUCUAGAAAAUCCCUUACACGUGUGCCCCUAGACUUGUCCCCUAGGUGGCUCUCAAUCUAGACAGAUUGACAACCAAAUUAACAGUUGCAUUCAUCUAUCCUUAAUCCUUCUGGUUACUGAAAUUGUAAACAAUGGCCAGAGAGAGGCUGGAGAUGAGAGAUGGGGAAGCUUAAAGACAGAGCAGUGAGGGAAACUGAGUAAAAGGAACCACAUUGCGCUCCAAGGAGCUGGAGCAGAGGGAGAGGCAGCUUCCUGAUGGAGGCUAGCAUCAAAGGGUCUCUACCUGGUAGUCAGUUUUCAUUUGUAAAAAUCAUUUUUAUCUGGGACUGGAGAGAUGGCUCAGCAGUUAGGAGCACUGACUGCUCUUCCAGAAUACCCGGGUUCAAUUCCCAGCACCCACAUGGCAGCUCCAGUUCCAGGGGUUCUGACACCC